GACGAACGCUGGCGGCGUGCCUAAUACAUGCAAGUUGAGCGAUGAAGCUUGGUGCUUGCACCAAUUUGAAGAGCAGCGAACGGGUGAGUAACGCGUGGGGAAUCUGCCUUUGAGCGGGGGACAACAUUUGGAAACGAAUGCUAAUACCGCAUAAUAACUUUAAACAUAAGUUUUAAGUUUGAAAGAUGCAAUUGCAUCACUCAAAGAUGAUCCCGCGUUGUAUUAGCUAGUUGGUGAGGUAAAGGCUCACCAAGGCGAUGAUACAUAGCCGACCUGAGAGGGUGAUCGGCCACAUUGGGACUGAGACACGGCCCAAACUCCUACGGGAGGCAGCAGUAGGGAAUCUUCGGCAAUGGACGAAAGUCUGACCGAGCAACGCCGCGUGAGUGAAGAAGGUUUUCGGAUCGUAAAACCCUGUUGGUAGAGAAGAACGUUGGUGAGAGUGGAAAGCUCAUCAAGUGACGGUAACUACCCAGAAAGGGACGGCUAACUACGUG
rnacentral:rRNA from 1 species